GAUGAACGCUGGCGGUAUGCCUAACACAUGCAAGUCGUACGAGAGUUUUUAACUCUAGUGGCGGACGGGUGAGUAACACGUGAGAAUUUGCCUUUAGGAGGGGGAUAACAAUUGGAAACGAAUGCUAAUACCCCAUAUGCUUUUGAGUGAAAUGGAUUUUAUCCGCCUAGAGAGAAGCUCGCGGCUGAUUAGCUUGUUGGUAAGGUAAGAGCUUACCAAGGCGACGAUCAGUAUCUGGUUUGAGAGGACGAUCAGACACACUGGAACUGAGACACGGUCCAGACUCCUACGGGAGGCAGCAGUGGGGAAUUUUCCGCAAUGGGCGAAAGCCUGACGGAGCAAUACCGCGUGAGGGAAGAAUGCCUAUGGGUUGUAAACCUCUUUUUUCCCAGGGAGGAAUAAAAUGACGUGUACCUGAAGAAUAAGCAUCGGCUAACUCCGUGCCAGCAGCCG
rnacentral:rRNA from 1 species